AUUUUGAAGUGUAGUUAUUUGUAUUUAAAAGGAAUGAACGAAGCUCUUCUCCAAAAAUGAAUCAGUUCAUAAGAGCGAUUCGCUCGCGGCUCAGACGUCACCACGUGAUGUCACGCUGUCUCUUCUUCGAUGGUAUUCAGCAGCGCUAUAAAUGCGGGCGCGCUAGUCGUUGCGCUCUCUCACUUUUGCGAUGUUUCCAUGGAAGAGCGUCAGAGCGUAUAAACAUGAGAAACUCCGGCUGCUACAGGAAGGGGGCUGAAUGUGGUCUGGAGCUCCUCCAGAUGAAGACUCUCCAGCUGCUGCAGCUCUGA
rnacentral:lncRNA from 1 species